UCUGAAACUAUGUGGCUUUACUAAAAACGGAUUCUUCAACCUGCCCUACAGUACUCACCACAUUUUCUGCAGGAAAUUCAUUUUCUAAUAUUGAUAUGUUGCAUAACAUAUAUUUACAUAAUAAUAAAAGCAACAACAAUAACGAUACUAAGGGUCAGAAUUGAAAAUUAUUGACCUUUUAUUGUUCAAUUUCAACCAGCAAAAGACAACUGAACUAACCAUAAUUUCCCUAUGAACAUACACAAAGAUGAUGAGGCUUAGUUGUUGACUUUGGAGACAACUCUUAAGCUUUCAGAAAGAAAAUCUGAUGAACUCUGCAUUUGGGAGUGGCAAUAAUUGGCAGUGAAUGGUCAUUACAAUUUAAAAACAAAUAAAUCUGAUUAAUAAAAUGGACACACACAUAAUAAUGAUUAGUUGAGUAUGUUUUUCCAUCUUUUCAGCAACAAAUUAAUGAUUUAAAGUUAGUAACUAGUAACUUUUUCAUUUCAACAUCCCAUAUUUGUUAAAAUUUAAGUAGGAAGAUCAACACUUAUUGGUUUGAACUUGAAGAGCUAUAUUUGAACCUGCUCUUCUGGCGUUAAAUAUUACAUUAUCUCUGAUCACCCUUUUUUGGGGGGGGGGGGGUUCUAGAAAAAAAAUCAGCACCUCACCCCUGUAAGAGCCUCUGACUUCAAUAGCAGAGGGAAUACAUGAUGAUGCCAUGUGAUCUAUAGUGUCAUCAUGAGUGCAUCAGAUACAAGCUAAUUGAUAUUAUACAUAGGCUCGUACCAAGGUACAAACCACAAGGCAGUAGUCAAAUGAACACAUAAAGCUGGCAGAAUGUUUUACAAUCACCACUGAUGCUGCAUCUGGGAAACACAGGAGAAUUAAAACCCUUUUUUCAUUGCGUUGGACAAUGUCUGCCGUGUAGUUGUGCGUCGUUAAAGGCAUUGGUGCCAGCCACCAGCCAGGUCCAGCUCGGCCUCCCCGGGCAGCACCAGGUACUGGUACUGGUGGCACUGGUAGUAGUGGAGCUCGAUGUAGCCGCUGUUGGACAGGGGGGUCCUUCUCCAUCUCCCCGCCGCCCUCCUCCUCCUCCUCCUCCUCCUCCUCCUCCUCCUCCACGGACUCCAUGGUGACCAGCUCCUCGUGGUCGGGGGUCAGAGCGCCGGAGGAGUUCUCAAAGAGCGUCGGGUUGUCGGAGGUCAGGAUGUGGGACGACGGAGCGGACAGGAGGAGGGAGUGGGAGAGGGAAUCUGCAGCACGAGAAAAGGGGAAAUUCGAAUGGGAAACGAUUCGACGAGUGCAUGUUUUUUCCGUGUAAGGCCCAAUAAAAACAAAACAAAAGAGCAGAGGGACAAAGACUAGUCUAGGGCCUAAGUCUGGGGCCGUCGGUUGCCAAGGUUAGAAAAGGUUGUUGCUAUGGAAACGGAACACAAACACACCAACCAUGUUACAUGCUGAGAGAGAGCGACCAUAAAGGGAACAUCCGGGCGGUAAAAGUCAAAGAGGGCCGUCUCUCUGUUGACGUACCGGCCUAAAAA
ensembl:lncRNA